GCCCGAAUAUGAAAACUCCCUGCUUCUGUGGGAAUUUCUGAGUCUCAAAUCGGCAAAUCUGCCAAAUUCUGCUCUGAGUGUCGCGUAAUUGCAGUUU